rnacentral:misc_RNA from 1 species
GGGGGGGUUGCGCCACUUGGAGGCUUAAUAAACAGCCACAACAACACAAAUUUAAAAGCAUUUCUUCAAUUUGCAAGGAAACCUAUUAACUAACAUACUCUAGAUUCACAUAAUCCAAGAUUAUUGAUUUGCAUUAAAAUUUACUUCAUACUUUCCUGGAUGACACACAAAAAAAAUGCUGCAAGCUUGAUUCUCAUCCAUGAUAGGUAUAUAAACAAUCAACCAAAAAAGGCAUGAAAAACUGUGUAAAAAUUGGGAUAGCAAGUGAGAGAAAUAAGGACCUAAAAUCAUAGCUAAAGCAGUAGCAUUAAAUUGAAGCUCACAAACAAAAACACAAAAGUGCUAAUUUACAAAAAUAGAAUGAAGUACUAACC